rnacentral:rRNA from 1 species
CCUACGGGAGGCUGCAGUGAGGAAUAUUGGUCAAUGGGCGCGAGCCUGAACCAGCCAAGUCGCGUGAGGGAUGAAGGUUCUAUGGAUCGUAAACCUCUUUUAUAAGGGAAUAAAGUGUGGGACGUGUCCUAUUUUGUAUGUACCUUAUGAAUAAGGAUCGGCUAACUCCGUGCCAGCAGCCGCGGUAAUACGGAGGAUCCGAGCGUUAUCCGGAUUUAUUGGGUUUAAAGGGUGCGUAGGCGGGCUUUUAAGUCAGCGGUGAAAGUUGGUGGCUCAACCAUAGAAUUGCCGUUGAAACUGGGGGGCUUGAGUGUGUUAGAGGCAGGCGGAAUGCGUGGUGUAGCGGUGAAAUGCUUAGAUAGCACGCAGAACCCCGAUUGCGAAGGCAGCCUGCCGGGCCAUGACUGACGCUGAUGCACGAAAGCGUGGGGAUCAAACAGGAUUAGAUACCCGAGUAGUC